rnacentral:misc_RNA from 1 species
GUAGGUGAACCUGCGGAAGGAUCAUUACCGAGUAAGGGUGCCCUCCAAGGCGCCCAACCUCCAACCCUUUGUAUACUUGACCAGAUGUUGCUUCGGCAGGCCCGCCUCUCUAGCUUCCGCUUAAGAGGCCGCCGGGGGUCCUUAUCGGCCCCGGGUCCGUGCCUGUCGAUGGCCCUUCUUAAAACUCUUGUUAUAAACGUGUCGUCUGAGUUUAAACAAAAAAUAAAACAAAACUUUCAACAACGGAUCU